rnacentral:rRNA from 1 species
UGCGUAGGUGGUCGUUUAAGUCUGUUGUGAAAGCCCUGGGCUCAACCUGGGAACUGCAGUGGAAACUGGACGACUAGAGUGUGGUAGAGGGUAGCGGAAUUCCUGGUGUAGCAGUGAAAUGCGUAGAGAUCAGGAGGAACAUCCAUGGCGGAGGCAGCUACCUGGACCAACACUGACACUGAGGCACGAAAGCGUGGGGAGCAAACA